UACGGAGGGUGCAAGCGUUAUCCGGAUUCACUGGGUUUAAAGGGUGCGUAGGAGGGCAGGUAAGUCAGUGGUGAAAUCUCCAAGCUUAACUUGGAACUGCCGUUGAUACUAUCUGUCUUGAAUACCGUGGAGGUGAGCGGAAUAUGUCAUGUAGCGGUGAAAUGCUUAGAUAUGACAUAGAACACCAAUUGCGAAGGCAGCUACAC
rnacentral:rRNA from 1 species